GAUGAACGCUGGCGGCGUGCCUAAUACAUGCAAGUCGAGCGAACGGACGAGAAGCUUGCUUCUCUGAUGUUAGCGGCGGACGGGUGAGUAACACGUGGAUAACCUACCUAUAAGACUGGGAUAACUUCGGGAAACCGGAGCUAAUACCGGAUAAUAUUUUGAACCGCAUGAUUCAAAAGUGAAAGACGGUCUUGCUGUCACUUAUAGAUGGAUCCGCGCUGCAUUAGCUAGUUGGUAAGGUAACGGCUUACCAAGGCAACGAUGCAUAGCCGACCUGAGAGGGUGAUCGGCCACACUGGAACUGAGACACGGUCCAGACUCCUACGGGAGGCAGCAGUAGGGAAUCUUCCGCAAUGGGCGAAAGCCUGACGGAGCAACGCCGCGUGAGUGAUGAAGGUCUUCGGAUCGUAAAACUCUGUUAUUAGGGAAGAACAUAUGUGUAAGCAACUGUGCACAUCUUGACGGUACCUAAUCAGAAAGCCACGGCUAACUACGUG
rnacentral:rRNA from 1 species